rnacentral:sRNA from 1 species
GGCUGCGGAUUCGCACUUGCUUUGAAUUGCCGCCUUGGUGUCUGUUUCUUAACAAUUUUGCUUCUAUCGUAACGUAUUGGCAAAAAAGGCGGUAAGCCGGCAAUGCGGAAGUUAAAUCGCCAUUAAGUUCCGUCACGCGGACGGCCCCAGUUCGAGGCU